GUGGUGUUUCCUUUUAUGGCUUUUAAACGGUAUUUCCUAGUUGGAAGUAAUCCUGCAGAAACCAAAUACCGUGUUUUGAAAAUAGAUCGCACUGAACCAAAGGAUUUGGUUAUAAUUGAUGACAAGCAUGUUUAUACGCAACAAGAGGUGAGGGAACUUCUCGGUCGGUUAGACCUGGGAAACAGAACAAAGAUGGGGCAGAAGGGCUCUUCUGGGUUAUCUCGAGCUGUCUCUGCUUUUGGUAUAGUAGGUUUUGUCAGGUUUUUAGAAGGCUACUACAUUGUGUUAAUAACAAAAAGAAGAAAAAUGGCUGAUAUUGGAGGUCAUGCAAUAUAUAAAAUAGAAGAUACAAAUAUGAUCUACAUUCCAAAUGACUCUGUAAGAGUCAGUCAUCCUGAUGAGGCCAGGUAUCUGAGAAUCUUUCAAAAUGUGGACCUUUCUAGCAACUUCUAUUUUAGUUACAGCUAUGAUCUAUCCCACUCCCUUCAGUAUAAUCUUACCGUCCUGAGAAUGCCACUUGAGAUAUUAAAAACUGAAACAACCCAGACCCGACAAGAGAGUUUUGAUAUAUUUGAAGAUGAAGGACUUUCAACACAAGGGGGAAGUGGUGUAUUUGGGAUUUGCAGUAAGCCUUACGAAAAGUAUGUGUGGAAUGCCAAGCUUCUGGAAGCAGUAAGAACUGCUAUUCAUCGUGACUGGCUGCUGUAUAUUAUUCAUGGAUUCUGUGGGCAAUCAAAGCUGUUAAUAUAUGGCCGCCCUAUAUAUGUCACUCUGAUAGCCAGAAGAUCAAGCAAAUUUGCUGGAACACGUUUUCUGAAACGAGGAUCAAACUGUGAGGGAGAUGUUGCUAAUGAAGUGGAAACUGAACAAAUACUUUAUGAUGCUUCAGUUAUGUCAUUUUCUGCGGGGAGUUAUUCUUCCUAUGUUCAGGUUCGAGGGUCUGUCCCUCUGUACUGGUCUCAAGAUAUUUCAACUAUGAUGCCUAAGCCACCCAUAACACUGGACCAAGCAGAUCCUUAUGCUCACGUUGCUGCUCUUCACUUUGACCAAAUGCUUCAGAGAUUUGGCUCUCCCAUUAUUAUAUUGAAUCUUGUGAAGGAACGUGAAAAAAGAAAGCACGAAAGGAUUCUCAGUGAAGAACUUGUUGCUGCUGUGACAUAUCUCAACCAGUUCUUACCUCCAGAGCAUGCAAUUAUAUAUAUACCCUGGGAUAUGGCCAAAUACACUAAAAGCAAACUUUGCAAUGUCCUUGACAGACUGAAUGUGAUUGCAGAAAGUGUAGUAAAGAAGACUGGGUUUUUUGUAAAUCGACCUGAUUCCUACUGCAGUAUCUUACGUCCAGAUGAAAAGUGGAAUGAACUAGGAGGUUGUGUUGUUUCCACUGGUCGCUUGCAGACUGGAGUCCUUCGAACCAACUGUGUGGACUGUUUAGAUCGCACUAACACAGCACAGUUUAUGGUGGGGAAAUGUGCUUUGGCCUACCAGUUGUAUUCAUUGGGAUUGAUCGAUAAACCUAAUUUACAAUUUGAUACAGAUGCUGUAAGAUUAUUUGAAGAAUUAUAUGAAGAUCACGGGGACACACUUUCUCUGCAGUAUGGAGGCUCUCAACUUGUCCACAGAGUAAAAACAUACAGAAAGAUCGCUCCAUGGACUCAGCAUUCCAAAGAUAUUAUGCAAACACUCUCAAGAUACUAUAGUAAUGCUUUCUCAGAUGCGGACAGGCAAGAUUCUAUCAAUCUCUUUCUGGGAGUGUUCAAGCCUGCAGAAGGAAAGCCACAUCUCUGGGAACUUCCCACUGAUUUUUAUUUGCAUCACAAGAACACCCUCAGUCUGUCACAGACCAGGCCAAGCUAUACUUACUGGUGGACCACAGGUGUGCUAAAGCAUUUACCUCUUCCUUUUGAUGAAGUGACAUGUGCUGAAAACAGACGCAAGUUGACAGUGAAGAAAUUCCACAAAUACGAAGAGGAAAUUGAUAUCCACAAUGAGUUUUUUAGGCCAUAUGAGUUGAGCAGUUUUGAUGAGACCUUCUGCUUGGCAAUGACCAAUUCCACACGAGAUUUUAUGCCUAAGAAUGUGGGAAUUGAUCCAAGUCCGUUUACUGUUCGUAAACCUGAUGAAACUGGAAAAUCUGUGCUGGCGAACAAAAAUAAUAGAGAAGAAGCUGUGCUGCAGCGCAAAACAGCUGCUAGUGCUCCUCCACCCCCAAGCGAGGAAGCAGUGUCAAGUAGUUCUGAAGAUGAUUCUGGGACAGAUAAAGAAGAUGAAGGUGCUGUUUCUCAACGUUCAACUCCAGUAAAGGUGACUGAUACAGGAGACAAUACAAAAAUCACAGAGAAUGUAGUGCAAUCAACAAAAGAUGUAUAUGGAGUCAAUCUUUCAGAUAUCCCUUCAGAAGAUGAUCUUGCAAUAUAUGCAAGGUUUGUUCAGCUGGGACAGAGUCAGCAUAAACAAGACAAGGGCCAGCAAUUUUGUUCAAAACGCCCCUUGGAUAAGGUCAUAAAUUUAGUACCUAUCUCCUCCUUUUCUCAAGACAAUAUUUACGAAGUCCAGCCUCCAAGAGCUGAUUGGAAAUCAAUAGAGAUUUUCCAUGCCCACAUUCAGGCUGGAAGAGGAAACAUGCAGCCCCUGGGAAGAGAUGACUUCCUCAUGUACAGAGAGUACAUUCGAAACAGAUACAUGUAAAUCCAAGCUGGCUUCUCCUGCCAAAUCUACUGUACUGAUAAGUCACAAAAAUAGUUUUAGAAAGGAAAUCUAGUUUUGGUUUUUUUUGCAGUAAUGAAUUUAUUACUAACUUUUCUAUUUAUUAUUCUUUACUGUUAUCCGUUUAUUGUAUUGUACUUAAGGGAAAAAGGUGGUUUCAUAUCUGAUUUUAAAGGUUAUUUAAUAACUUUUUAGCUGAAAGUAUAUCCUAAGAGACUAAGUGAAUAAUCAGAGCACCCAGUGUCACUGGAGAGUAUGUAGCAAUUUGUGGAAAAGAAAAUAAGGCAUCUUUAGAUUUUUUUGUAUUAAUUUCUUACAUUGUUAUGUUUGCUAAUAAAACUGGAGUGAUUUGUACACAAGAAUCAGAAGAGAAUAGUUUUCUUCCUCUUUCUUCCAUGACAGAAAAGAAUCUUGUUUUACAGCAGAGUAUUUUCUGAUAUUUCUUGAAGUUUUUAGCAAAGUGAGUGCUGGAAUGACUGCUUGCAAUUUUAUGCUUUCUUAAGCAAAAGUAGAAAGUAUGUGGCUUAUGUCAAAAUCAAAAUUUGCAUCACCACUAAUAAACUUUCUAACCCUAAUAUGUGUCAAAACUAAUCUCAGUGGUGCUGGUAGCUACAGAAUCUGUGCCACAUGCUGCAGGGUGAGGAUGGCUUGUGACUAAUUACCACAGGUUUCUAGUAGGAGUCUGAGGAGAGCCCCAUAAUGACUGCAUCUGCAAGCGAGGGAAUGCUCUUCACUUUACUGGGUUUGGACACCUAGAGAGUGCCAAACCAUCCUGCCAUUUUUCUGUGUGACAGGCAUUGUCCUUUGGAAGCACACUCUCCCCAUCCCUGUGUUUGUGCUCCUGUGAGAUGCCUUGGGGUUCCAGCUAGAGCCUCCAGGGAAAGGGGUGCUGGUAAAUGACUGGAUCAGCUGGGGUGAUCAUGCAAGAGGAAGAAGUAGGUGGGUCAGGCAAGACUGAACAUCAUGUCCUGUGCUGAGUAAGAGGUAAAGAGGCAGCAGGUGUCUAAAUAGGUUCUUUUUGGCUUGAGAGUAAAACAUUUUUCAAAUUUAAAAAAAAAAAAUUAAAAAGGGGAGGAGGAAGCCUACUAUUUGCAAUUGCAAGCUAAAAUUUCCAACAUUUUGUAGGCCUUUGCCUUGAAGAAUACUGACGGUAUCAGCAACAUUCUUGAUAAAACAUUUUGUUCCACAAGCUUGUACAGACCAUGUUUCAGAAUUUUCUGGAGUACUGGAAUGACUGUCUUAGGGAGUAGCCAACUGCAUGUAACAGAUGUAGAGAACAUGUUUGUGUUCACAGUAAAUUGCUUUUCAGGCAGCUACUGUAGAUUUGUGGCUGCUCACUGCAAACAUGUUUGCAUAUCUUUGAAUAUUUUAUGCAGUAAGUUGCACCUCUGUCAGUAAUUUAAUAUAAGAAAAGAUGCAGUGGGUGAAAGGAAAAAAGGUUUCUUGUGAUACAAGUUUGUGUGUCACAGGGAAGGACUUGUAUGCAGUCAAUGAGAACAUGGUACCUUGAGCUACCAGAGCAUUCUGGUGUCCAUUCUCUUUUGUUAAUUGUUUUGAGCCAAAUGGUUGUAUUUUAGAAGAUGCAAGGAUGAAUUGUCGCUUCAGAUAAUACUUCAUUGCCAUUGUCAAUGUUUUUUUCCUCUGGAAAAUAAACCUAUACUGAAUUCUUUUGCCCAAUAUGAAAAUAAUUAGAAGGA